GACAAACUUGAGCUUGCAACAUCUCUCCUUGCAAAGGCAAAAGAAAAGGGUGUCUCCCUUCUGUUGCCAUCUGACGUUAUCAUUGCUGAUAAGUUUGCUCCUGAUGCUAACAGCCAGGUUGUUCCAGCAUCUGCUAUUCCUGAUGGUUGGAUGGGUCUGGAUAUUGGUCCAGAUUCAGUCGCGUCAUUCAGCUCUACCCUGGAAACAACACAGACAGUCAUUUGGAAUGGACCUAUGGGUGUCUUCGAAUUUGACAAGUUUGCAGUAGGAACUGAGGCUAUUGCAAAGAAGUUGGCAGACCUUAGCGGCAAGGGUGUUACAACCAUUAUUGGAGGAGGUGAUUCUGUUGCCGCUGUUGAGAAGGUGGGAGUUGCAGAUGUUAUGAGCCACAUUUCAACGGGAGGUGGUGCUAGCUUGGAGCUGUUGGAAGGAAAGGAACUUCCUGGAGUCAUUGCACUUGAUGAAGCUGUCACUGUGGCCGUAUGAGGCUAAGUUUCAUUUUGUUGCAUCUUCUUCAUGUACCAUUCUAAACUUGCUAUAUUCUACUCCUUUCUCGCACCUCUUCAACCACUCGAAAUGUAAGAGACCAAUGUUUUAUAGAGAUGCUGGAAAUCGUUUGAAUAACUUCCCAGCAUUUUGUGUUUGUUGGAUAUACCUUACCUCAGGAAACAUA
rnacentral:misc_RNA from 1 species